UACGGGGGGAGCAAGCGUUGUUCGGAUUUACUGGGCGUAAAGGGCGCGUAGGCGGCCACCGCAAGUCAGUUGUGAAAGCUCUGGGCUUAACCCAGAAAGGUCAGCUGAUACUGCGGGGCUAGAGUGCAGAAGGGGCAACUGGAAUUCUCGGUGUAGCGGUGAAAUGCGUAGAUAUCGAGAGGAACACCUGCGGCGAAGGCGGGUUGCUGGGCUGUAACUGACGCUGAGGCGCGAAAGCGUGGGGAGCAAACAGG
rnacentral:rRNA from 1 species